rnacentral:rRNA from 1 species
AGGAUGAACGCUGGCGGCGUGCCUAACACAUGCAAGUCGAACGUCCUGUCUCGCAAGAGGCAGGGAGUGGCGGACGGGUGAGUACCACGUGGGUCAUCUACCGUGAGGUGAGGAAUACCGGCGAGAAAUCGCCGACAAGACCGCAUAGCCUCGGUGCAAGCCGAGGAAAGCUUUCUCGAGAGAGGGAGCGCCACACGAGGAGCCUGCGCCCGAUUAGCUAGCUGGUGGAGUAACGGUUCACCAGGGCGACGAUCGGUAGCUGGUCUGAGAGGACGAUCAGCCACACUGGGAUUGAGAACGGCCCAGACUCCUACGGGGGGCAGCAGUGAGGAAUUUUCGUCAAUGGGGGCAACCCUGAACGAGCAACGCCGCGUGCAGGAAGAAGGUUUUCGGAUCGUAAACUGCUUUUCUCGGGGAAGAGAACGGACGGUACCCGAGGAAUCAGCCCCGGCUAACUACGUGCCAGCAGCCGCGGUAA